UACGUAGGGUGCAAGCGUUGUCCGGAAUUAUUGGGCGUAAAGAGCUCGUAGGCGGUUUGUCGCGUCUGCCGUGAAAGUCCGGGGCUCAACUCCGGAUCUGCGGUGGGUACGGGCAGACUAGAGUGAUGUAGGGGGAGACUGGAAUUCCUGGUGUAGCGGUGAAAAUGCGCAGAUAUCAGGAGGAACACCGAUGGCGAAGGCAGGUCUCUGGGCAUUAACUGACGCUGAGGAGCGAAAAGCAUGGGGAGCGAACAGG
rnacentral:rRNA from 1 species